AGCUCAACGAGAACAGAAA
rnacentral:snRNA from 1 species